AGUCAGGGAGACUGAGGACUCAGAAUACCACAGAAGCCUUGGCAGCUGGAGGAGACUAGAUCUGGGAGAAAUGAAAAGAGGUAAAGACUAUCCCGGCACUAGAAAAAGCAAUGGUCUGGCCCACCAGCACUAUCAGCCUUCAGGUUCACAAGAAGCCCAUUUUUAUGGAGGCAGAAAAAUGUCUGCGAGUCAAGAUUUACUGAGAUAUGAAUGAUCCCAGUGCUAUGAAAAGGCAUAGGGAAAUGAUGCCUCCUGGUGACGUUACGUGACUGGAGUACAACCAGGAAGCCGGAUGGAAAUACUGCCAAUUCCAAAAUCCUUCAAUACUAUGCAGCCAGCACAGUCUACUUCUUCCAUCAGUCAGUAGGUGUUGGGUAUGAACUAGCAGACAAAGUGACAACUUCAUUCAGAUGUUCUCUGUUAAUGGUACGCUGAAGAUAUUAGCCACAGAAGGAAAUACAGAUCUGUACUGAAAAAAUUGUUUAUCACAUCAGCUGUCACUCCUCUAUUUCCUUCAUCUUCAAUGGACAAACCUGAAUAAAGCAGAACACCCUUCUAGGGCAUCUCAGUGACAACAUUUAACCCUCGUGUAUAAACAGUACUCUGUUAAUAUGCUUCUGGACUUCAAAUAGCUUUUUAAAACAUCCAUACUUCCGCUGUGAUCCUACAUCAGUAAUACAGAGUGACAAGAACUUUUCUAGGGGGCUUGUUCCAAAGGAUGACGGCUGCAGGAGUUAUCACCAGCGUGACCUUCUGAACUCCAGUCAGUCCCAGUGUACUGCUCAAAAUACAAAGCCAGCAUCUCCAGAACUCUCUGUGUGAGGUUCCCUGCCAGCAGUUUGCAGUCAGAGAGGUAUCAGCAGAUAAGAGGUAAAAUAUGGUGUGGUUACCAAGUUACUGCAUCGCCACAAGCAAGGAGAUGAUGACAGAGGUGACAGUAAGGGAGGGACAGGACAAGGUCAACCAAGAAGCUGGACCAGGUGGAUCAAAUGAAAGCUGCUCUUCCAGGGAAGAAGCCAGGGAGGCAGAAGCUCUUUUUAUGUCCUCUACAAAGACUCAAGAGGAAUUAUGAUACCACCUUUAUUCACAACAGUGUCCCGAAGACAACUUAAUAUUUGUGAAUAUGAAGCAUUAUGAAGCUGUUAUCAGCCACAUCACUGGAAAGAGCAGAAGAGGCAAUGAAGAAACCUGUUUCCAGUGAGGAGCCUGAAGGCUGUGAAGAAAAAGCUGGCCUAAGACCACAAACUAAACAACAGAAUGAAGCAGUUCUCAUUCAGUGAAGACCUCAACAAUGAACAAAGCAAGGAUAAGCAGGAAAAGGGGUCAGGCAACUAUGUAAUUAAAAACUGUAUCAGAUGGCAUAUGCUAAGAGAAGGUGUAAUUACAUGUAUAAACACAAGUUUUAGAUGCAUGGUUUUGCAAUCUUAACAAUGUUCUCCUACUAUAGUGU